GAUGAAGAACGCAGCGAAAUGCGAUACGUAAUGUGAAUUGCAGAAUUCAGUGAAUCAUCGAAUCUUUGAACGCACAUUGCGCCCCCUGGUAUUCCGGGGGGCAUGCCUGUUCGAGCGUCAUUUCACCACUCAAGCCUCGCUUGGUAUUGGGCAACGCGGUCCGCCGCGUGCCUCAAAUCGACCGGCUGGGUCUUCUGUCCCCUAAGCGUUGUGGAAACUUUCGCUAAAGGGUGUUCGGGAGGCUACGCCGUAAAACAACCCCAUUUCUAAGGUUGACCUCGGAUCAGGUAGGGAUACCCGCUGAACUUAAGCAUAUCAAUAAGCGGAGGA
rnacentral:misc_RNA from 1 species